GAGUUUGAUCGUGGCUCAGGACGAACGCUGGCGGCGUGCUUAACACAUGCAAGUCACGGGGGUCCCGGGGGCAACUCUGGGAUAACCGGCGAACGGGUGUGUAACACGUGAACAACCUGCCCUCGUGUGGGGGAUAGCCGGGCUAACGCCCGGGUAAUACCGCAUACGUUCUCUUUGGGGAGUCCCGAGGAGAGGAAAGCUCCGGCGCACGGGGAGGGGUUCGCGGCCUAUCAGCUAGUUGGCGGGGUAAUGGCCCACCAAGGCGACGACGGGUAGCUGGUCUGAGAGGAUGGCCAGCCACAUUGGGACUGAGAGACGGCCCAGACUCCUACGGGAGGCAGCAGUGGGGAAUCUUGCGCAAUGGUCUAACGACUGACGCAGCGACGCCGCGUGUGGGAGGACGCCUUUCGGGGUGUAAACCACUGUUGCCCGGGACGAACAGCCCUUUUCGAGGGGUCUGACGGUACCGGGUGAGGAAGCACCGGCUAACUCCGUGCCAGCAGCCGCCGUAAAACCUGAA
rnacentral:rRNA from 1 species